rnacentral:lncRNA from 1 species
UUUUCUUAAAUAUGAGUCCCAAAAGUCUUUAAAAUGUUGCCACCUGUUUGUUACUCAAACUCAUGCAUAAGCGAGCUAAAAGCCACACUUAAGCGUGGUUUGUAGAUCUUAGUCAUAUUUCAGGAAAUAAGGUAGUUAAGCGUAAGCUCCAUCACGCUUAAGCGAGAGCAAAGUUGAGCUUUAGCUGUUUCUUGGAUUUGAAGCUUAAGCGUAAAAGAAGCUAUGCCUAAGCGUGGCUGAAGUUGGUUUCCAAGGAUUGUAGCUUCAGCGUAAAAGGAUGACACUUAAGCCAGGACCACUUUCCAAAACUGGGGCAUACUGGUGUUGGCGCUUAAGCAUGUCUGCACCUACGCUUAAGCGCCCUUACUUCAUCAAAUCUUUUCUUUUCUUUCAGCACUACAAGCCCAUAUCUUUGCAAAUAUUCUUUUUAAAUCCAAAUGGAGCAACCAAAAAUAAGAAGAAAAACAAUUGAAUUGAAACUAACUGAACCUAU